UACGGAGGAUGCGAGCGUUAUCCGGAUUUAUUGGGUUUAAAGGGUGCGUAGGCGGGAUGCCAAGUCAGCGGUAAAAAUGCGGUGCUCAACGCCGUCGAGCCGUUGAAACUGGCGUUCUUGAGUGGGCGAGAAGUAUGCGGAAUGCGUGGUGUAGCGGUGAAAUGCAUAGAUAUCACGCAGAACUCCGAUUGCGAAGGCAGCAUACCGGCGCCCGACUGACGCUGAGGCACGAAAGCGUGGGGAUCGAACAGG
rnacentral:rRNA from 1 species